rnacentral:rRNA from 1 species
AGGUGCUAUCAUACCAGCACUAAAGUAUACCGGAUCCCAUCAGAACUCCGCAGUUAAGUGUGCUUGGGCGAAAGUAGUACAAGGAUGGGUUACCUCC